GAUGAACGCUGGCGGCGUGCUUAACACAUGCAAGUCGAACGAAGCAUUUAAGACAGAUUACUUCGGUUUGAAGUCUUUUAUGACUGAGUGGCGGAUGGGUGAGUAACGCGUGGGUAACCUGCCUCAUACAGGGGGAUAGCAGCUGGAAACGGCUGGUAAUACCGCAUAAGCGCACGGUAUCACAUGAUACAGUGUGAAAAACUCCGGUGGUAUGAGAUGGACCCGCGUCUGAUUAGCUAGUUGGUGAGGUAACGGCCCACCAAGGCGACGAUCAGUAGCCGACCUGAGAGGGUGACCGGCCACAUUGGGACUGAGACACGGCCCAGACUCCUACGGGAGGCAGCAGUGGGGAAUAUUGCACAAUGGAGGAAACUCUGAUGCAGCGACGCCGCGUGAGUGAAGAAGUAGUUCGCUAUGUAAAGCUCUAUCAGCAGGGAAGAUAGUGACGGUACCUGACUAAGAAGCUCCGGCUAAA
rnacentral:rRNA from 1 species